AUUGAACGCUGGCGGCAUGCCUUACACAUGCAAGUCGAACGGCAGCACGGGGCAACCUGGUGGCGAGUGGCGAACGGGUGAGUAAUAUAUCGGAAUGUACCCUAGAGUGGGGGAUAACGUAGCGAAAGUUACGCUAAUACCGCAUACGAUCUGAGGAUGAAAGUGGGGGACUCGUAAGAGCCUCAUGCUCAUGGAGCAGCCGAUAUCUGAUUAGCUAGUUGGUAGGGUAAAAGCCUACCAAGGCGACGAUCAGUAGCUGGUUUGAGAGAACGACCAGCCACACUGGAACUGAGACACGGUCCAGACUCCUACGGGAGGCAGCAGUUAGGAAUCUUGGACAAUGGGCGCAAGCCUGAUCCAGCCAUGCCGCGUGAGUGAUGAAGGCCUUA
rnacentral:rRNA from 1 species